rnacentral:rRNA from 1 species
AACGCGAAGAACCUUACCUACUCUUGACAUCCAGAGAACUUUCCAGAGAUGGAUUGGUGCCUUCGGGAACUCUGAGACAGGUGCUGCAUGGCUGUCGUCAGCUCGUGUUGUGAAAUGUUGGGUUAAGUCCCGCAACGAGCGCAACCCUUAUCCUUUGUUGCCAGCGGUUCGGCCGGGAACUCAAAGGAGACUGCCAGUGAUAAACUGGAGGAAGGUGGGGAUGACGUCAAGUCAUCAUGGCCCUUACGGGUAGGGCUACACACGUGCUACAAUGGCGUAUACAAAGAGAAGCGACCUCGCGAGAGCAAGCGGACCUCAUAAAGUACGUCGUAGUCCGGAUUGGAGUCUGCAACUCGACUCCAUGAAGUCGGAAUCGCUAGUAAUCGUAGAUCAGAAUGCUACGGUGAAUACGUUCCCGGGCCUUGUACACACCG